rnacentral:rRNA from 1 species
UACAGAGGGUGCAAGCGUUGUUCGGAAUUAUUGGGCGUAAAGAGCUCGUAGGCGGUCUGUCGCGUCGGCUGUGAAAACUCGGGGCUCAACUCCGAGCUUGCAGUCGAUACGGGCAGGCUAGAGUUCGGCAGGGGAGACCGGAAUUCCUGGUGUAGCGGUGAAAUGCGCAGAUAUCAGGAGGAACACCGGUGGCGAAGGCGGGUCUCUGGGCCGAUACUGACGCUGAGGAGCGAAAGCGUGGGGAGCGAACAGG